CAUGAAGCAGGAAUCGCUAGUAAUCGCCGGUCAGCCAUACGGCGGUGAAUCCGUUCCCGGGCCUUGUACACACCGCCCGUCACACUAUAGGAGCUGGCCAUGUUUGAAGUCAUUACCCUUAACCGUAAGGAGGGGGAUGCCUAAGUCCUAAGAUGCGACUGCGUAAUAACUUCGUAUAGCNNNNNUUAUACGAAGUUAUACGAUCUU
rnacentral:ncRNA from 1 species